UCAACUCUUGUAGUAUAUUUCCGGUUAGAAAAAUCAUACCGUGUUUCGAAUACGGAAGUAAAUGUCUCAAUAUUUUGACAUUUAUAUUUAAGACAAUUUAUUUUACUAUUAUUAUUUCAGUUUAAUUAUCUAUAUUUAAUUUACAACUGAUAUUAAGGCAUUAAGAAAAGGUAAAGACAGACCCAAGAAGUGCUAUAAAUAUUGUUGCGAAAAUUUAGGCCACCAGUAUAAUACGCCACCCAGGAAGAGUUGUAGCGCCACUGGAUAACAUAUACUUAAUAAUAUGUACAGUUUGGCCUAGGAACAAAAUGAUAUACAUAAUAUGUCAUACAAAGCCAUUCAAAGGGGGAACGCUGCCAGUAUAUUCGGAACCUUGCCUAAAGGGACUCCUUUUAAUAAUCUAUUAUAGCUUUUAAGGUCACUUAUUGUUUUUUGCUAAUUAAAUUAAUAUGUAAAUAAGUUUAA